rfam:Rhodococcus pyridinivorans SB3094, complete genome.
CGCUGCGGGUGUCCUGCCGAUCCGGUAGGGCACCCGCUGCGUUUUCGGUGAAGCCGGUGAGAUUCCGGCGCUGUCCCGCAACUGUAAGUCCCGAUACGGGGUGAGCCAGGUCGGCCGGCGCGGAGGGUC